rnacentral:misc_RNA from 1 species
GAUGAAGAACGCAGCGAAAUGCGAUAAGUAAUGUGAAUUGCAGAAUUCCGUGAAUCAUCGAAUCUUUGAACGCAUAUUGCGCCCUCUGGCAUUCCGGGGGGCAUGCCUGUUCGAGCGUCAUUAUAACCACUCAAGCUCUCGCUUGGUAUUGGGGCUCGCGGUUCCGCGGCCCCUAAAAUCAGUGGCGGUGCCUGUCGGCUCUACGCGUAGUAAUACUCCUCGCGAUUGAGUCCGGUAGGUCUACUUGCCAGCAACCCCCAAUUUUUACAGGUUGACCUCGGAUCAGGUAGGGAUACCCGCUGAACUUAAGCAUAUCAAUAAGCGGAGGA